rnacentral:rRNA from 1 species
ACAGGGGGAUAACACUUAGAAAUAGGUGCUAAUACCGCAUAAGCGCACGGUUCCGCAUGGAACAGUGUGAAAAACUCCGGUGGUAUACGAUGGAUCCGCGUCUGAUUAGCCAGUUGGCGGGGUAACGGCCCACCAAAGCGACGAUCAGUAGCCGGCCUGAGAGGGUGAACGGCCACAUUGGGACUGAGACACGGCCCAAACUCCUACGGGAGGCAGCAGUGGGGAAUAUUGCACAAUGGGGGAAACCCUGAUGCAGCGACGCCGCGUGAGUGAAGAAGUAUUUCGGUACGUAAAGCUCUAUCAGCAGGGAAGAAAAAAAGUCCUUUGGACUUUGGACGGUACCUGACCAAGAAGCCCCGGCUAACUACGUGCCAGCAGCCGCGGUAAUACGUAGGGGGCAAGCGUUAUCCGGAUUUACUGGGUGUAAAGGGAGCGUAGACGGCAGCGCAAGUCUGGAGUGAAAUGCCGGGGCCCAACCCCGGAACUGCUUUGGAAACUGUGCAGCUGGAGUGCAGGAGAGGUAAGCGGAAUUCCUAGUGUAGCGGUGAAAUGCGUAGAUAUUAGGAGGAACACCAGUGACGAAGGCGGCUUACUGGACUGUAACUGACGUUGAGGCUCGAAAGCGUGGGGAGCAAACAGGAUUAGAUACCCUGGUAGUCCACGCCGUAAACGAUGAUUACUAGGUGUCGGGGGGCCAAGGCCCUUCGGUGCCGCCGCAA